AGUGAACGCUGGCGGUAGGCCUAACACAUGCAAGUCGAACGGCAGCACAGUAAGGGCUUGCUCUUACGGGUGGCGAGUGGCGGACGGGUGAGGAAUACAUCGGAAUCUACUUUUUCGUGGGGGAUAACGUAGGGAAACUUACGCUAAUACCGCAUACGACCUACGGGUGAAAGCAGGGGAUCUUCGGACCUUGCGCGAUUGAAUGAGCCGAUGUCGGAUUAGCUAGUUGGCGGGGUAAAGGCCCACCAAGGCGACGAUCCGUAGCUGGUCUGAGAGGAUGAUCAGCCACACUGGAACUGAGACACGGUCCAGACUCCUACGGGAGGCAGCAGUGGGGAAUAUUGGACAAUGGGCGCAAGCCUGAUCCAGCCAUACCGCGUGGAUGAAGAAGGCCUUCGGGUUGUAAAGCCCUUUUGUUGGGAAAGAAAAGCAGCAGGUUAAUACCCCGCUGUUCUGACGGUACCCAAAGAAUAAGCACCGGCUAACUUCGUG
rnacentral:rRNA from 1 species